rnacentral:rRNA from 1 species
GUGGGGAAUAUUGGACAAUGGGCGCAAGCCUGAUCCAGCCAUGCCGCGUGAGUGAUGAAGGCCUUAGGGUUGUAAAGCUCUUUCAGUGGGGAAGAUAAUGACGGUACCCACAGAAGAAGCCCCGGCUAACUUCGUGCCAGCAGCCGCGGUAAUACGAAGGGGGCUAGCGUUGUUCGGAUUUACUGGGCGUAAAGCGCACGUAGGCGGAUUGGUCAGUUAGAGGUGAAAUCCCGAAGCUCAACUUCGGAACUGCCUUUAAUACUGCCAGUCUAGAGUCCGGAAGAGGUAAGUGGAACUCCUAGUGUAGAGGUGGAAUUCGUAGAUAUUAGGAAGAACACCAGUGGCGAAGGCGGCUUACUGGUCCGGUACUGACGCUGAGGUGCGAAAGCGUGGGGAGCAAACAGGAUUAGAAACCCCUGUAGUCC